AUUGAACGCUGGCGGAAUGCUUUACACAUGCAAGUCGAGCGGCAGCGCGGGGCAACCUGGCGGCGAGCGGCGAACGGGUGAGUAAUGCAUCGGAACGUACCCCGUCGUGGGGAAUAACUACCCGAAAGGGUAGCUAAUACCGCAUACGACCUGAGGGUGAAAGCGGGGGACCGAAAGGCCUCGCGCGAUGGGAGCGGCCGAUGCCGGAUUAGCUAGUUGGUAGGGUAAAGGCCUACCAAGGCGACGAUCCGUAGCUGGUCUGAGAGGACGACCAGCCACACUGGAACUGAGACACGGUCCAGACUCCUACGGGAGGCAGCAGUGGGGAAUUUUGGACAAUGGCGAAAGCCUGAUCCAGCCAUUCCGCGUGAGUGAAG
rnacentral:rRNA from 1 species